rnacentral:rRNA from 1 species
AAGGUUUGGGCUUGUUCUCAAGAUUAAGCCAUGCAUGUCUAAGUAUAAGCAAUCUAUACUGUGAAACUGCGAAUGGCUCAUUAAAUCAGUUAUCGUUUAUUUGAUAGUACCUUACUACUUGGAUAACCGUGGUAAUUCUAGAGCUAAUACAUGCUAAAAACCCCGACUUCGGAAGGGGUGUAUUUAUUAGAUAAAAAACCAAUGCCCUUCGGGGCUCCUUGGUGAAUCAUGAUAACUUAACGAAUCGCAUGGCCUUGUGCCGGCGAUGGUUCAUUCAAAUUUCUGCCCUAUCAACUUUCGAUUGUAGGAUAGAGGCCUACAAUGGUUUCAACGGGUAACGGGGAAUUAGGGUUCUAUUCCGGAGAGGGAGCCUGAGAAACGGCUACCACAUCCAAGGAAGGCAGCAGGCGCGCAAAUUACCCAAUCCCGAUACGGGGAGGUAGUGACAAUAAAUACUGAUACAGGGCUCUUUUGGGUCUUGUAAUUGGAAUGAGUACAAUUUAAAUCUCUUAACGAGGAACAAUUGGAGGGCAAGUCUGGUGCCAGCAGCCGCGGUAAUUCCAGCUCCAAUAGCGUAUAUUAAAGUUGUUGCAGUUAAAAAGCUCGUAGUUGAACCUUGGGCCUGGCUGGCCGGUCUGCCUCACCGCAUGUACUGGUUCGGCCGGGUCUUUCCUCCUGGGGAUCCGCAUGCCCUUCACUGGGUGUGUUGGGGAACCAGGACUUUUACUUUGAAAAAAUUAGAGUGUUCAAAGCAGGCCUUUGCUCGAAUACAUUAGCAUGGAAUAAUAGAAUAGGACGUGCGGUCCUAUUUUGUUGGUUUCUAGGACCGCCGUAAUGAUUAAUAGGGAUAGUCGGGGGCAUCAGUAUUCAGUUGUCAGAGGUGAAAUUCUUGGAUUUACUGAAGACUAACUUACUGCGAAAGCAUUUGCAAGGAUGUUUUCAUUAAUCAGUGAACGAAGUUAGGGGGAUCGGAGACGAUCAGAUACCGGUCGGUAGUCUUAAACCGGAAACUAUGCCGACUAGGGGAUCGGGGCGAUGUUAUUCCUUUUGAACUCGCUUCGGGCACCCUUAACGAGGAAAAUCAAAGUCUUCGGAGUGAUGUUAUUUCUUUGACUCCGCUCGGCACCUUACGAGAAAUCAAAGUUCUUUGGGUUCUGGGGGAGUAUGGUCGCAGGCUGAAACUAAAGAAAUUGACGGAAAGGGCACCACCAGGCGUAAACCGUUUCUGCCGCAGUUACUCUGCGCCUAAAAGCAGCCCGAAAGGGUGAGGUGGUCGCGUCCUUAAAUGCUAGUCCGCCCCUGCGAGGGGGUGGGCAACACGCUCAAAUUGCGGGAAGUUCCUAAGAGCCCUAGAUACCAAGCCGGCGUCCGAAAGGCGUCGGUGGCCAGGUUAAUUGCCUCGGGUACGGUCAUAACGCUAGGGAUGCAACAAUGGAUAAUCCGCAGCCAAGCCCCUAAACCUCCAGCUCGGAGGCACGGGGAAGGUUCAGAGACUAAAUGGGUGUGGGUCGACGUGCUGUGAGGCGCGCCGGUCUAAGAUAUAGUCCGUCCACCUUGCGAAAGCGGGUGAUUUAGGCUUAUUCCAAACCUUUAACGGGAGCCUGCGGCUUAAUUUGACUCAACACGGGGAAACUCACCAGGUCCAGACACAGUAAGGAUUGACAGAUUGAGAGCUCUUUCUUGAUUUUGUGGGUGGUGGUGCAUGGCCGUUCUUAGUUGGUGGAGUGAUUUGUCUGCUUAAUUGCGAUAACGAACGAGACCUUAACCUGCUAAAUAGCCCGACCCGCUUUGGCGGGCCGCCGGCUUCUUAGAGGGACUAUCGGCUCAAGCCGAUGGAAGUUUGAGGCAAUAACAGGUCUGUUAUGCCCUUAGAUGUUCUGGGCCGCACGCGCGCUACACUGACAGAGCCAACGAGUUUACUACCUUGGCCGGAAGGUCUGGGUAAUCUUGUUAAACUCUGUCGUGCUGGGGAUAGAGCAUUGCAAUUAUUGCUCUUCAACGAGGAAUGCCUAGUAAGCGCAUGUCAUCAGCAUGCGUUGAUUACGUCCCUGCCCUUUGUACACACCGCCCGUCGCUACUACCGAUUGAAUGGCUCAGUGAGGCCUUCGGACUGGCUCAGGGAGGUCGGCAACGACCACCCAGAGCCGGAAAGUCCGUCAAACUGCCGUUCAUAUGAAGU